UCAAUAAGCGGAGGAAAAGAAACUAACAAAGGAUUCCCCUAGUAACUGCGAGUGAAGCGGGAAAAGCUCAAAUUUAAAAUCUGGCGGUCUUUUGGCUGUCCGAGUUGUAAUCUAGAGAAGUGUUAUCCGCGCUGGACCGUGUACAAGUCUCCUGGAAUGGAGCAUCAUAGAGGGUGAGAAUCCCGUCUUUGACAUGGACUACCAGGGCUUUGUGAUGCGCUCUCAAAGAGUCGAGUUGUUUGGGAAUGCAGCUCAAAAUGGGUGGUAAAUUCCAUCUAAAGCUAAAUAUUGGCGAGAGACCGAUAGCGAACAAGUACCGUGAGGGAAAGAUGAAAAGAACUUUGGAAAGAGAGUUAAACAGUACGUGAAAUUGCUGAAAGGGAAACGCUUGAAGUCAGUCGCGUCAUCCAGGGAUCAACCUUGCUUUUGCUUGGUGCACUUUCUGGUUUGAUGGGUCAGCAUCAAUUUUGAUCAUUGGAAAAAGGUUUAGGGAAUGUGGCAUCUUUGGAUGUGUUAUAGCCCUUGGCCAUAUGCAAUGGUUGGGAUUGAGGAACUCAGCACGCCGCAAGGCCGGGUUUUUUAACCACGUACGUGCUUAGGAUGCUGGCAAAAUGGCUUUAAUCGACCCGUCUUGAAACACGGACCAAGGAGUCUAACAUGCCUGCGAGUGUUUGGGUGGAAAACCCGAGCGCGUAAUGAAAGUGAAAAGUUGAGAUCCCUGUCGUGGGGAGCAUCGACGCCCGGACCAGACCUUUUGUGACGGUUCCGCGGUAGAGCAUGUAUGUUGGGACCCGAAAGAUGGUGAACUAUGCCUGAAUAGGGUGAAUCCAGAGGAAACUCUGGUGGAGGCUCGUAGCGAUUCUGACGUGCAAAUCGAUCGUCAAAUUUGGGUAUAGGGGCGAAAGACUAAUCGAACCAUCUAGUAGCUGGUUCCUGCC
rnacentral:rRNA from 1 species